UACGAAGGGGGCUAGCGUUGUUCGGAAUCACUGGGCGUAAAGGGCGCGUAGGCGGCUUUCUAAGUCGGGGGUGAAAGCCUGUGGCUCAACCACAGAAUUGCCUUCGAUACUGUAGAGCUUGAGACCGGAAGAGGUAAGUGGAACUGCGAGUGUAGAGGUGAAAUUCGUAGAUAUUCGCAAGAACGCCAGUGGCGAAGGCGGCUUACUGGUCCGGUUCUGACGCUGAGGCGCGAAAGCGUGGGGAGCAAACAGG
rnacentral:rRNA from 1 species